GAUGAACGCUAGCGGCAGGCCUAACACAUGCAAGUCGAGGGGUAACAGGGGGUGCUUGCACUCCGCUGACGACCGGCGCACGGGUGCGUAACGCGUAUACAAUCUGCCUUAUACUGGGGUAUAGCCUUUAGAAAUGAAGAUUAAUCCCCCAUAGUCUCUAGAUGUGGCAUCACAAUUAGAGUAAAGGUUACGGUAUAAGAUGAGUAUGCGUUCUAUUAGUUUGUUGGUGAGGUAAUGGCUCACCAAGACUACGAUAGAUAGGGGCCCUGAGAGGGGGAUCCCCCACACUGGUACUGAGACACGGACCAGACUCCUACGGGAGGCAGCAGUGAGGAAUAUUGGACAAUGGAGGCAACUCUGAUCCAGCCAUGCCGCGUGCAGGAAGACUGCCCUAUGGGUUGUAAACUGCUUUUAUAUAGGAAGAAACCUUGGUACGUGUACCAAGCUGACGGUACUAUAAGAAUAAGGAUCGGCUAACUCCGUGCCAGCCGCCGCCGUAACAC
rnacentral:rRNA from 1 species